rnacentral:rRNA from 1 species
UACGAAGGGGGCUAGCGUUGCUCGGAAUCACUGGGCGUAAAGCGCAUGUAGGCGGAUUGUUAAGUCAGGGGUGAAAUCCUGGAGCUCAACUCCAGAACUGCCUUUGAUACUGAGGAUCUUGAGUACGGGAGAGGUGAGUGGAACUGCGAGUGUAGAGGUGAAAUUCGUAGAUAUUCGCAAGAACACCAGUGGCGAAGGCGGCUCACUGGCCCGUAACUGACGCUGAGGCACGAAAGCGUGGGGAGCAAACCGG